UAAGAGUUUACUGCAAUUUUGCUGACCGGACGGUAUCGCAGGAAAUUGCAGGUCUCAUUAAG
rnacentral:sRNA from 1 species